GCAGCCCGGGGCUCGCGGCCCCCCGGAUCGCGGCGGGCUCCCGGAUUCCGGGGCGGGCCGCUGCGCCCCGCCAGGGGCCCCCGACUCCGCAGAGCUCGCCCCCUCCUCACUGUCACUCCCCCCCCCCCCACCCGGGCCGACUUGGUUCAGUCCAGCCCGAGUGCACCUAAUAGCUUCCAAGAUCUAUGUCGUACAUGGUUGGAGCUCGGGCUGGCUGCUGCCAUAGCAACCCAGGCAAAAGCCUCACUCCUCUCUAGCUAAAUGCAUCUAUCAAUACUCUAAGUAGCAACCGGGACGGCCCAAACCAUCAUGAAGGUGAGGUGAGUGGUCAGAAAAGGAGACCCAGAGUCACAGAGUGAGAGUGAAGAGGACCAAACAGAAGGGAGAGGCAGAAUGGAGCUGAGCCAGGGGGCAUUCACAACAGCGGAAAGAGACACACGCAGAGGUCUGAUAAGAUGAACUGGCGUGGAGCAGUUGUGAUCAGCACUGAUAGAAAGGAACACUCGGAUCAGUGAGAUUACGGCCCCACUGGAGCUGAUAAUUAAACAUCUCUGUUUUGCGAAAA